CUCCGCUCUCCCCAGCGCCCGCCGCCGCCGCCGCCGCCGCCGCCUGCUGCCUCCGCGCGGACCGUGGAGCGGGGUCGCAGCCGCCUGCCCGCCCUGCGGUGGGCCAGGAUGUCGGGCUUCCUGGAGGAGCUGCUCGGAGAGAAGCUGGUGACGGGCGGCGGCGAGGAGGUGGACGUGCACUCGCUGGGCGCCCGCGGCAUCUCGCUGCUGGGGCUCUACUUCGGCUGUAGCCUCAGCGCCCCCUGCGCGCAGCUCAGCGCCAGCCUGGCCGCCUUCUACGGGCGCCUGCGGGGGGACGCGGCGGCCGGGCCGGGGCCGGGGGCGGGGGCCGGGGCGGCGGCGGAGCCCGAGCCGCGGCGGCGCCUGGAGAUCGUCUUCGUGUCCUCGGACCAGGACCAGCGGCAGUGGCAGGACUUCGUGCGGGACAUGCCGUGGCUGGCGCUGCCCUACAAGGAGAAGCACAGGAAGCUCAAACUUUGGAACAAAUACCGAAUUUCCAACAUUCCAUCGCUAAUAUUCCUCGACGCCACCACGGGGAAGGUUGUGUGCAGGAACGGGCUGCUGGUGAUCCGAGAUGACCCAGAAGGUCUGGAGUUCCCCUGGGGGCCUAAACCCUUCCGGGAAGUCAUUGCAGGGCCCUUGCUUCGAAAUAACGGGCAGUCCCUGGAGAGCAGCAGCCUGGAGGGGUCUCACGUGGGCGUCUACUUCUCCGCACACUGGUGUCCGCCCUGCCGAAGCCUCACCCGGGUCCUGGUGGAGUCCUACCGGAAGAUCAAGGAGGCCGGCCAGAGCUUCGAGAUCAUCUUCGUUAGUGCAGACAGGUCGGAGGAGUCCUUCAAACAGUACUUCAGUGAGAUGCCCUGGCUCGCCGUCCCCUACACUGACGAGGCCCGGCGGUCACGCCUCAACCGGCUGUACGGAAUCCAAGGCAUCCCCACGCUCAUCGUGCUGGACCCGCAGGGCGAGGUGAUCACACGGCAGGGGCGGGUGGAGGUGCUGAACGACGAGGACUGCCGGGAGUUCCCCUGGCACCCCAAACCCGUGCUGGAGCUCUCCGACUCCAACGCCACGCAGCUCAACGAGGGCCCCUGCCUCGUCCUUUUUGUAGCUGCUCCCCAGCUGCCAGCUGGGCAGAACAGGUCAGGCCGAGGAUGCCCUGGGGACCCCAUGCGCAGACCCAUUGUUGGAAAGGGGCGGGUCGCACACACACAGCUGCCGGGGGCUGGGCCCUCUGGCCGAGGCUCACCAAGGCUGCUUCUGCCAGUGCUCUGUGCUCAGAUUCUGAGGAUGACGGAGAGUCCGAGGCAGCCAAGCAGCUGAUUCAGCCAAUAGCUGAGAAAAUCAUUGCCAAGUACAAAGCCAAAGAGGAGGAGGCGCCGCUUCUGUUCUUCGUGGCCGGGGAGGAUGACAUGACUGACUCCCUGCGAGAUUACACCAACCUGCCUGAGGCGGCCCCUUUGCUCACCAUCCUGGACAUGUCGGCCCGGGCCAAGUACGUGAUGGACGUGGAGGAGAUCACCCCCGCCAUCGUGGAGGCCUUUGUGAAUGACUUCCUAGCAGAGAAGCUCAAACCGGAGCCCAUCUAGCGUGGCUCCGGCCUCCUGAGACAUUAUUUAAAACUCAGCCUUCUCCUCCUCCUCCCCCUCCUUCCCUCCGCCCUCGGACUUACCCAGCGUGCCCCGAAUCACACCACCCAAGUGUCCAACCUCUCUGUGGUGCCUUGUUUCUGCAUUAAACUCCUCAGCCAGCACCCUGGGGUGCGGAAUCCAGCAGCGGCAGAAUCCACCGUGUUUGGGAGCGUGGGAUGGCUGGGGGCAUGGCCCGGCCAGAGUGGGGGCUGCAUCACUCUCGCAAAGUCACUUGCUUUUGGUGAAGGAUUUGCCAGGGUGUUCCAGGGCAGAGUGAGCGUGGAGGGCCAGUGGCUCCCGCUCAGGCUGGGACUCGGGCAUCAGCACACACAGAGCCCCGGACGGCCAGAGGGGAACCGCCGGGGGACACCUGUGUGGAGGCAGAGCUGAGAAAGGGCCUGAGCCUCAGUGGGCCUCAGCUUAGAGCUGCGGUGAGAACAUCCUUUUCUAAGCGACAUGGUCUUUCUCGGUCUGAGAGAAAAGCAGCCCACUCGUGUGUUUUCGGGCAGGGGAUCUCCAAAUGCAAAAGGAAGCUUGUGGAGGUUUUUUGGGUGAGAAAAAAAAUGUAGUUAAGGUAAUGGUUCGUAUAGUAACGGCUAAUUUUUAUGGAGCUCCCGCCUCCUGAUGAGAGCUCCUCAUUCUUUUCUUCCUUGACCUUGAAGUCUCUGCCUGCUCAUACAAAGAGCUCCCACCAUCUUGAAAUUCUGAUAACGAAUCCUUCUCUUUGGGCAUCUUCCCAAGAAACUUAGCCCUGAGUCCUAGGAGGAGCACCUCUGAACCAGCACAGACCUCUGACUCCACCCAGCUCUGUGCCCGAGGCCCCGAUCUCUGCUGAGGUGCACACGCCCACAUUCGAUCACCCCUGCCAUUGCCUUUUUUCUUUUUACUUUUUUUUUUUGAGAUGGAGUCUUGCUUUCUCGCCCAGGCUGGAGUGCAGUGGCAUGAUCUCGGCUCACUGCAACCUCCGCCCCCAAAGUUCGAGUGAUUCUCCUGCCUCAGCCUCUGGAGUACCUGGGAUCACAGGCGAGCGCCACUGCACCUGGCUAAUUUUUGUAUUUUUAGUAGAGACGGGGUUUCACAAUGUUGGCCAGGCUGGUCUCGAACUCCUGACCUCAGGUGAUCCACCCGCCUCGGCCUCCCAAAGUGCUGGGAUUACAGGCGUGAGCCACCGCACCUGGCCCCCUUUUCAAAGCAGAAUUACAAAGAUGAGAAAUUACCAGAAGCCUCGCCUUUUCCUAAGCACCAGCAGGAGGAGCUGUGCCCUGGGGUGGAGUGAGGGUGGAGUGAGGGUGGAGUGAGGGUGGAGGGCGUGUCGGCCACGAGUGGACCUUGUAUCGCCUUUGCUAGGCCCAGGUAGGUUGUUGGCCUCUUACUUGGGCUGACUUGACCACCGAAAGAGAAACGAACAACUCUGUUCUCAGGAUUGGGGAUGGACGGCUUCGGCCGAGCCUUUUAGCCUCGCUCACUCAGGUGUCAGGGACUUCAAACCACCCUGGGCCUUACCCUUGGCCCCACUCAGCACUCUGCCAACCAAGACCACUGAUGUGGAAAACCCAGUCCCCACCCCCUCAUGAGCUGUUGACACUGUUGUUCUUUGCUGAAUUGGAUUGUUGAUUUGUAGUUCAGAGGCGUACAGCGAGUUGGCGAUUAGACGUUAUGUGACGUUACCAGCCUGAAAUGCGACCACCCAGUAGGAAAUAAAGCAGGCAUCUCUGGACCUUA